rnacentral:rRNA from 1 species
CAGUCGCCGCGGUAAUACAGAGGGUGCGAGCGUUAAUCGGAUUUACUGGGCGUAAAGCGUGCGUAGGCGGCUUCUUAAGUCGGAUGUGAAAUCCCUGAGCUUAACUUAGGAAUUGCAUUCGAUACUGGGAAGCUAGAGUAUGGGAGAGGAUGGUAGAAUUCCAGGUGUAGCGGUGAAAUGCGUAGAGAUCUGGAGGAAUACCGAUGGCGAAGGCAGCCAUCUGGCCUAAUACUGACGCUGAGGUACGAAAGCAUGGGGAGCAAACAGGAUUAGAGACCCCGGUAGUCCCUGUCUCUUAUAA